UACGUAGGGGCAAGCGUUGUCCGGAAUCAUUGGGCGUAAAGCGCGCGUAGGCGGCCCGAUAAGUCUGCUGUGAAAGUCCAGGGCUCAACCCUGGAAUGCCGGUGGAUACUGUCGGGCUAGAGUUCGGAAGAGGCAAGUGGAAUUCCUGGUGUAGCGGUGGAAUGCGCAGAUAUCAGGAGGAACACCGGUGGCGAAGGCGGGUCUCUGGGCCGAUACUGACGCUGAGGAGCGAAAGCGUGGGGAGCGAACAGG
rnacentral:rRNA from 1 species